AAUCAACGCUGGCGGCGUGCCUCAGACAUGCAAGUCGAACGAUUAAAGCUCUCUUCGGAGAGUGUAUAGAGUGGCGCACGGGUGAGUAACACGUAAGUAAUCUACCUUCGAGUGGGGAAUAACGUCCGGAACGGACGCUAAUACCGCAUAAUGCAGCGGCAUCGCAAGAUGACAGUUGUUAAAGAUUUAUCGCUUGAAGAGGAGCUUGCGGCAGAUUAGCUAGUUGGUAAGGUAAUGGCUUACCAAGGCUACGAUCUGUAACCGGUCUAAGAGGACGGUCGGUCACACUGACACUGAAUAACGGGUCAGACUCCUACGGGAGGCAGCAGUCGGGAAUUUUGGGCAAUGGGCGAAAGCCUGACCCAGCAACGCCGCGUGAAGGAUGAAGUA
rnacentral:rRNA from 1 species